GGAGUUAUAGCUCAGGGGUAGAGUAUUUGAUAGCAGAUCAAGAGGUCCCUGGUUCAAUUCCAGGUGCCUUCC